GAUGAACGCUGGCGGCGUGCCUAAUACAUGCAAGUCGAGCGAACGGACGAGAAGCUUGCUUUUCUGAUGUUAGCGGCGGACGGGUGAGUAACACGUGGAUAACCUACCUAUAAGACUGGGAUAACUUCGGGAAACCGGAGCUAAUACCGGAUAAUAUUUUGAACCGCAUGGUUCAACAGUGAAAGACGGUCUUGCUGUCACUUAUAGAUGGAUCCGCGCUGCAUUAGCUAGUUGGUAAGGUAACGGCUUACCAAGGCAACGAUGCAUAGCCGACCUGAGAGGGUGAUCGGCCACACUGGAACUGAGACACGGUCCAGACUCCUACGGGAGGCAGCAGUAGGGAAUCUUCCGCAAUGGGCGAAAGCCUGACGGGGCAACGCCGCGUGAGUGAUGAAGGUCUUCGGAUCGUAAAACUCUGUUAUUAGGGAAGAACAUAUGUGUAAGUAACUGUGCACAUCUUGACGGUACCUAAUCAGAAAGCCACGGCUAACUACGUG
rnacentral:rRNA from 1 species